AAGUCGUAACAAGGUUUCCGUAGGUGAACCUGCGGAAGGAUCAUUUGUGAAAAUUUAAUGUUUUUUUUGAAGAGGGGUAAAAUCCUUUUUAGAAAAACAUAAAAAAAAGAGAUUUCUUGUGGUUUAUAAAUGAUUUUUAAAAAAUUGUUUGUUGUUGAAAAAUGACAAACAAUUAUAUUUUUAAAAUCAAUUUUUUAUAAAAAACUAUUUUAAACAUGUAUUUAAAAAAUUAACAGUUUUAAAAAAUAAAUUAAAAAAAAAAUUAAAACUGUCAACGGUGGAUCUCUUGGCUCGU
rnacentral:misc_RNA from 1 species